rnacentral:rRNA from 1 species
GUACACUCCUGCGGGAGGCAGCAGUGGGGAAUUUUGGACAAUGGGCGAAAGCCUGAUCCAGCAAUGCCGCGUGAGUGAAGAAGGCCUUCGGGUUGUAAAGCUCUUUUGUCAGGGAAGAAACGGUGAAAGCUAAUAUCUUUUGCUAAUGACGGUACCUGAAGAAUAAGCACCGGCUAACUACGUGCCAGCAGCCGCGGUAAUACGUAGGGUGCAAGCGUUAAUCGGAAUUACUGGGCGUAAAGCGUGCGCAGGCGGUUUUGUAAGUCUGAUGUGAAAUCCCCGGGCUCAACCUGGGAAUUGCAUUGGAGACUGCAAGGCUAGAAUCUGGCAGAGGGGGGUAGAAUUCCACGUGUAGCAGUGAAAUGCGUAGAUAUGUGGAGGAACACCGAUGGCGAAGGCAGCCCCCUGGGUCAAGAUUGACGCUCAUGCACGAAAGCGUGGGGAGCAAACAGGAUUAGAAACCCCUGUAGUCCCAUCAU